GAGCGGGAUUCACUUUCGGGUGAUGAGAGCGGCGCACGGGUGCGUAACGCGUAUGCAACCUACCUCUAACAGGGGGAUAGCCCGGAGAAAUCCGGAUUAAUACCCCAUAGUAUUAUUUGAAGGCAUCUUUAAAUAAUUAAAGUUCCGGCGGUUAGAGAUGGGCAUGCGUGACAUUAGUUAGUUGGCGAGGUAACGGCUCACCAAGACUACGAUGUCUAGGGGUUCUGAGAGGAUGAUCCCCCACACUGGUACUGAGACACGGACCAGACUCCUACGGGAGGCAGCAGUGAGGAAUAUUGGUCAAUGGGCGCAAGCCUGAACCAGCCAUCCCGCGUGAAGGAUGACUGCCCUAUGGGUUGUAAACUUCUUUUGUACACCAAGAAUGGUUACUACGUGUAGUGAUUUGACGGUAGUGUAUGAAUAAGCAUCGGCUAACUCCGUGCCAGCAGCCGCGGUAAUACGGAGGAUGCAAGCGUUAUCCGGAUUCAUUGGGUUUAAAGGGUACGUAGGUGGCCCAAUAAGUCAGUGGUGAAAGUUUGCCGCUUAACGGUAAAAUUGCCAUUGAUACUGUUGGGCUUGAGUACAGUUGAGGUAGGCGGA
rnacentral:rRNA from 1 species